rnacentral:rRNA from 1 species
CGAGGGGAAUUGAAACAUCUUAGUACCCUCAGGAAAAGAAAUCAAUAGAGAUUGCGUCAGUAGCGGCGAGCGAAAGCGCAAGAGGGCAAACCCAGUGCUUGCACUGGGGGUUGUAGGACUGCAAUGUGCAAGAGGUAAGUUUAGCAGAACAUUCUGGAAAGUAUAACCAUAGAGGGUGAUAGUCCCGUAUGCGAAAAACAAACCUUAGCUAGCAGUAUCCUGAGUAGGGCGGGACACGAGGAAUCCUGUCUGAAUCCGGGUCGACCACGAUCCAACCCUAAAUACUAAUACCAGAUCGAUAGUGCACAAGUACCGUGAGGGAAAGGUGAAAAGAACUGAGGUGAUCAGAGUGAAAUAGAACCUGAAACCAUUUGCUUACAAUCAUUCAGAGCCCUAUGUAGCAAUACAGGGUGAUGGACUGCCUUUUGCAUAAUGAGCCUGCGAGUUGUGGUGUCUGGCAAGGUUAAGCAAACGCGAAGCCGUAGCGAAAGCGAGUCUGAAUAGGGCGCUUAGUCAGAUGCUGCAGACCCGAAACGAAGUGAUCUAUCCAUGAGCAAGUUGAAGCUAGUGUAAGAACUAGUGGAGGACUGAACCCAUAGGCGUUGAAAAGCCCCGGGAUGACUUGUGGAUAGGGGUGAAAGGCCAAUCAAACUUCGUGAUAGCUGGUUCUCUCCGAAAUAUAUUUAGGUAUAGCGUUGUGUCGUAAUAUAAGGGGGUAGAGCACUGAAUGGGCUAGGGCAUACACCAAUGUACCAAACCCUAUCAAACUCCGAAUACCUUAUAUGUAAUCACAGCAGUCAGGCGGCGAGUGAUAAAAUCCGUCGUCAAGAGGGAAACAACCCAGACUACCAGCUAAGGUCCCUAAAUCUUACUUAAGUGGAAAACGAUGUGAAGUUACUUAAACAACCAGGAGGUUGGCUUAGAAGCAGCCAUCCUUUAAAGAAAGCGUAAUAGCUCACUGGUCUAGUGAUUUUGCGCGGAAAAUAUAACGGGGCUAAAGUAAGUACCGAAGCUGUAGACUUGCACACAACUUAGAUUAUUUAAGUUUAGAAUAUGAGAAACUAAGUUAUAUGUUUAGUUAUAUUUUUACUGAUUUUUAUAGAGUAAAGAUAGAAAUAAAACUUAGUAAAAUCAGUAAAAAUAUUCUUAGACUAAAGUUAAGUAGUUUAAGUUGUGUGCAAGUGGUAGGAGAGCGUUCUAUUUGCGUCGAAGGUAUACCGGUAAGGAGUGCUGGAGCGAAUAGAAGUGAGCAUGCAGGCAUGAGUAGCGAUAAUUAAUGUGAGAAUCAUUAACGCCGUAAACCCAAGGUUUCCUACGCGAUGCUCGUCAUCGUAGGGUUAGUCGGGUCCUAAGUCGAGUCCGAAAGGGGUAGACGAUGGCAAAUUGGUUAAUAUUCCAAUACCAACAUUAGUGUGCGAUGGAAGGACGCUUAGGGCUAAGGGGGCUAGCGGAUGGAAGUGCUAGUCUAAGGUCGUAGGAGGUUGUACAGGCAAAUCCGUAUAACAAUACUCCGAGAACUGAAAGGCUUUUUGAAGUCUUCGGAUGGAUAGAAGAACCCCUGAUGCCGUCGAGCCAAGAAAAGUUUCUAAGUUUAGCUAAUGUUGCCCGUACCGUAAACCGACACAGGUGGGUGGGAUGAGUAUUCUAAGGCGCGUGGAAGAACUCUCUUUAAGGAACUCUGCAAAAUAGCACCGUAUCUUCGGUAUAAGGUGUGGUUAGCUUUGUAUUAGGAUUUACUCCGAAAGCAAGGAAACUUACAACAAAGAGUCCCUCCCGACUGUUUACCAAAAACACAGCACUCUGCUAACUCGUAAGAGGAUGUAUAGGGUGUGACGCCUGCCCGGUGCUCGAAGGUUAAUUGAUGGGGUUAGCAUUAGCGAAGCUCUUGAUCGAAGCCCGAGUAAACGGCGGCCGUAACUAUAACGGUCCUAAGGUAGCGAAAUUCCUUGUCGGUUAAAUACCGACCUGCAUGAAUGGCGUAACGAGAUGGGAGCUGUCUCAAAGAGGGAUCCAGUGAAAUUGUAGUGGAGGUGAAAAUUCCUCCUACCCGCGGCAAGACGGAGAGACCCCGUGGACCUUUACUACAGCUUGACACUGCUACUUGGAUAAGAAUGUGCAGGAUAGGUGGGAGGCUUUGAGUAUAUGACGCCAGUUGUAUAUGAGCCAUUGUUGAGAUACCACUCUUUCUUAUUUGGGUAGCUAACCAGCUUGAGUUAUCCUCAAGUGGGACAAUGUCUGGUGGGUAGUUUGACUGGGGCGGUCGCCUCCCAAAUAAUAACGGAGGCUUACAAAGGUUGGCUCAGAACGGUUGGAAAUCGUUCGUAGAGUAUAAAGGUAUAAGCCAGCUUAACUGCAAGACAUACAAGUCAAGCAGAGACGAAAGUCGGUCUUAGUGAUCCGGUGGUUCUGUGUGGAAGGGCCAUCGCUCAAAGGAUAAAAGGUACCCCGGGGAUAACAGGCUGAUCUCCCCCAAGAGCUCACAUCGACGGGGAGGUUUGGCACCUCGAUGUCGGCUCAUCGCAUCCUGGGGCUGGAGCAGGUCCCAAGGGUAUGGCUGUUCGCCAUUUAAAGCGGUACGCGAGCUGGGUUCAGAACGUCGUGAGACAGUUCGGUCCCUAUCUGCCGUGGGCGUAAGAAGAUUGAAGAGAUUUGACCCUAGUACGAGAGGACCGGGUUGAACAAACCACUGGUGUAGCUGUUGUUCUGCCAAGAGCAUCGCAGCGUAGCUAAGUUUGGAAAGGAUAAACGCUGAAAGCAUCUAAGCGUGAAGCCAACUCUAAGAUGAAUCUUCUCUAAGCUCUCUAGAAGACUACUAGUUUGAUAGGCUGGGUGUGUAAUGGAUGAAAGUCCUUUAGCUGACCAGUACUAAUAGAGCGUUUGGCUUAUCUUUAAUAAAGCAU